UCAAAAUGUAGACGCAUGGAUUGAAAAUCCCUUGGCAGAACUGGGAGUAUCAAUCUUUAGCGGACAAAGAAGAUCAGCACACUGAAUCACGAAGUUGCUCCGUGGAUCUUCUUAUCUGCUCUGACUCAUGCAAACACUAGCAAAUCAGCCUAAUAGAUCCCAUUAAAUUAUGUUCCUCAUUAUCAGAAAAAUUCUAUGAAACGGAUCGCUACAUGAAAUUCCAAUACUGCAUUUAUUUAACCCAGAAGUCGAAGAAUGCCACGCUGAAAAGUACUUCAGUGUAUAUCUUACAACUUAUAACGUAGAAUCUACUCACCGACUAAAAAUGAAUCACGGAUCUCCGCAAGUUCAUAACAAAAAACAUCAGAUCUAAGGCUAAAGAAACAGAGAUCAAACAGUUCAAAAGCCUCACCGCCGCCACUCGCGAAGGGCAUAACCUUCCUCGGGUUCCAUCUCGGUAGGUGGAGGAAGCACCGGUCCAUCCGAUGCAAAAACAUCAUCUCCAGCUACAUUAUAGCCGUUGCCGUUGCCGUUCUCAACAUGGAUCGGGCUAAAUGGACUCUGUGAAUAGCUAGGAUUCGGAUCCACAUCAGCAGAGGAAGAUCCAAAUCCAAAAAUAUCAGGAGAAGAGGCGGGGACGUGAUCAACGGAGACAUCUCCACCAGGAAAGUCACCGGAGCCGGUGGGAGUGAAGUUAGAGUAGGAACCGAAGUUGGCGUAGGUCUCGUCUUCCUCUUCUUCAAAGGAUCUGUGAUUGGAAGUGUGAAUCUCCUCACCGUCGAUGCCAAAGGAAUCGAAAGAAGCCAUUUGAACUUUUGUUUCUCCGACCUAAGAUUUUUCUUUCUCUCGCUUUCUAGAAAUGUAAAGAGUCCUGUAAACGGAGGUUUGUUUUCCUGUGAAGCAGCAUUCAAACUUAGACGGGAA